rnacentral:SRP_RNA from 1 species
UGUGCUAUGUGGGGAGGUAGCGGAUCCCUGUAACCCUAAAUCCGCUAUAUUGGGGCAGACCACUUUUCUAGAUAUUAGGUAUGGAAGGACUGAUAGAAAUAAGCGAUGUUGAUACCAAGGUCUUGUGCAAUUGGAACUUGUGAACCAUGUCAGAGCCUGACCGCAGCAGCAUUAAGCAAGACAACCAGUGUGCCACAAGGUAGCUUUGGAGUAGUUGGCUACUUUUA